rnacentral:rRNA from 1 species
GGGCCCGCACAAGCGGUGGAGUAUGUGGUUUAAUUCGAUGCAACGCGAAGAACCUUACCAGGGUUUGACAUCCUGCGAAUCUCUUGGAAACAGGAGAGUGCCUUCGGGAACGCAGUGACAGGUGGUGCAUGGCUGUCGUCAGCUCGUGUCGUGAGAUGUUGGGUUAAGUCCCGCAACGAGCGCAACCCUCACUUUUAGUUGCCAGCAUUUAGUUGGGCACUCUAGAGAGACCGCCGGUGAUAAACCGGAGGAAGGUGUGGAUGACGUCAAGUCAUCAUGCCCCUUACAUCCUGGGCUACACACGUACUACAAUGCUACGGACAAAGGGCAGCAAACUCGCGAGAGCUAGCAAAUCCCAUAAACCGUGGCUCAGUUCAGAUCGUAGGCUGCAACUCGACUCCAUGAAGUCGGAAUCGCUAGUAAUCG